rnacentral:rRNA from 1 species
UACGUAGGGUGCGAGCGUUAAUCGGAAUUACUGGGCGUAAAGCGUGCGCAGGCGGCGCGUUAAGACAGGUGUGAAAGCCCCGAGCUUAACUUGGGAAUUGCGCUUGUGACUGGCGUGCUGGAGUGUGGCAGAGGGAGGUGGAAUUCCACGUGUAGCAGUGAAAUGCGUAGAGAUGUGGAGGAACACCGAUGGCGAAGGCAGCCUCCUGGGCCAGCACUGACGCUCAUGCACGAAGCGUGGGGAGCAAACAGGAUAGAUA